rnacentral:lncRNA from 1 species
UUGAAAAAUAAUUAUCCAACUUUUAUAAGAUUAUAUUUUAUUUUAGAAAAAUAUUUUCCUUUUAAACAAUUGUAUUAUUACAUAUUAUUUUUAUUCUUACAUGAUUAUUUCCUCACAAUACUAAUUUACUCAGUUUGCAAUCCGAGGGAUUACACUAGGAGUAGUAUUAUCUAAAGAUGAUGAUUCAAUACACAACAUCUACCGCGAAUACAUUGCCCUUUUUUUCCAGGACAUCCAGGUUGACAAUCCAUCUGAUUUACAAGGUCCGUCAAGUUCUCUUCCUUCUGAUUUCUUACACAUAUCUGCAAGCAAUAUUUCUUCAAAACAUAAAAUAAUAUCGUAUGUAAACAAAGAAUAAUUCAAAAUGUAAAUUUGUUAGAAGUUAAACAUCCUUUUAGAAGCAGGUGAUUUAUUCAUUUUAUCAUUAGUUCCAAACCUGAUGUUAAGAUGCAGAAAGCAAAAGUAUAUCAUUAUAAGAGCAGACAUUUUGUAGUAUCCAUCUUUUUAAUAUAACAUAUGAUAUGACACAUAUAUCUGUUACUUAUAUAUGCAUAUGGUGGACUACAUUCUGACUGUAUUAUUACUUCAAAUUGAUUUCUUAAUUCAAAAGUAAAUUCAAUUCUAUGUAAGAUAAGAAAAAUAUACAUUUUUUGACCAAUAUAAAAUAUACCUUAAAAAUUGCAAUAAAUAUAUUAUAUUUAAUCAAUUUAAAGAAUAAACUAAUAAUAAAUAUUCUUAAUUAAAAUAUAAAUAACAAGUUCAAUGUAACUUUUGUUAAUCAUAUAUCACUUUUAAAAAAUAUUGAGAAGGAUAAAGAAAGUUUAUUAGCGGGAGAAAAGCUCAACUUGAUUGGGUUAGUUGAAUACAAGAUAUGGAGUUUAGGGUUCAAGCCUUCAUUAAAGCAUUUGUUAGUAUUUCAUAUAAAGUGUUAACGAAACAAGAUGUCAAUAUUCAUGAAUUAAAUAUUUUUUAUAAAAAUAAAUGAUAAUUUAUAUUAUUCAGUGACAUAAACGGCCAUUUUACAAAUAUUUCUGUUAAUUUGAAAUGUGAGACCUUAAAAUUACAAGAAUAAAACUCUUACGGCUGAAGUAGAAAAUAAACAUUAGAUUGACCUCUUUAUUUCAAGAGAUUAAUUACUAUACACUAUCAGUGUAAAAAGUUUUACACCGUCGAUUCUUCACCAUCAUCCGUUUGUAUUAUUUUAUAGAUUUUUAAAAUAAAUCAGUCUUCUUUUAAUAUCCGACGUCUAUGAUUAACUGACGUGUUAAAAUCCUUUUACAGUGUCAGUAUAUUUCAAUUAAACUCUUAUUUCAAUUAUGAUUUCAUAGAUUUUUUAAAAUGAUAGUAUUUAGUUUUAAAAUUUUGACUUAAUUUUUUACAGGAUAAUUGUAAAAUACUUAUAGGUUUCAUUAAAUUAAUUAUCUUGUUCGUUAAUAUAGGUUCUUGAUUAACAAAUUGCAGGAUUUAGAUCUUUGAUAGAAGUAAAUUUGUUAUUAUAUUUAUUGAUAAUAAUAUUUUUAACAUAUGAUAAAUAUAAUAACUUUUGAACUUUUCCUAUUUUUUCAUUAUAAAGUUAGUUAUUGUUUUAUUUCAAAAAUAAUAUAAAUUUUUAUUAGCACAUGAAUAUUUGUUGUUUUAUUUUUGAAAGACAUUAUUUUUAUUGUUGUUAUAUUUAACUUUUUUUAAGCAGACGGAAAGGCAAAGUGAUCUUCAACAACCUAACUAGAUUAAAAUAAAGAAGAAAAGUACAAAAAUUGAGAGACAUAAAACUAAAUCAAUUUUAAUAAAAAAUAAACAACUAAAAUGGGUUUUAUAAAACAUGUUAAAAUAGUAAUUAAACAUAAAUUUUAAUCAAGAGAUAUCAGUCGUGCACAACUUAUAUUAACCUAACAAAUUAGAAUUCGGAGCAACCCAACUUCCAAAAUUGAAUGACGAACUUUUGUUGUUGUUGUUGUUGUUAUCUUUAACUUAUUUUUAAGCAAGCGGAAGGUAGAGUGAUCUUCGACAAAAUACGUUAUACGAGAUAUUAAUUUGGUACUGAUACAACACAAGUGCCUAGCGAUAUCAUUAUAUGUAUGUCACAUAAACUAAAAAAAGGCAGUAAGGCACAUACCAUACAAUGGUGCCUAAAUAAAAAUUAAAAUCUAUAUGCAACAUCUUCAUGUGCUCACAAUCCACAUCGGAGAAUCACAUAACUCCCAAUCUUUGAAACAUCAAGAAACAAUCAUGCAUAACUUGUACAAACCAAUAAAUUAGAAUUGAGGCGCAAAAUUUAAUUACCAAAAAAUUAGAUUUUUUAGCUGAAUAGCACGAGACUCUGAACUUUUAGUGUUUCUAUUGAACUCGGUUGUAAAUACAAUAAAGAAUCAUGACACCCAGUUGAAACUAUUUAAAACCAGUUUUUCAUUUAAAAUUAUAUAAAAAAAUCAUGAAUUUUUAGACUUACUCGUCUUGCUCAAUUAUUAUCUAUUUGUAUUAUAGCAUAUUUCCAUGGGUGUUCUAUAUAUGGAUCCAUAUUGUAAUUAUUUCACUAUUAUAUAUUAUAGAAUCUAAAUAUGGUAAAUAUUUUUUAAUAUCUUUAAUAAUGUAUUGAAAUUCAUAUAAUAAAAAUAAUAAUAUAAAUAUUUUUUUCAAAAUGAAAAGAAACAAAAAAGAUAAAUAAAUUGAAAAAUAAUUAUCCAACUUUUAUAAGAUUAUAUUUUAUUUUAGAAAAUAUUUCCUUUUAAACAAUUGUAUUUAUACAUAUUAUUUUUAUUCUUACAUGAUUAUUUCCUCACAAUACUAAUUACUCAGUUUGCAAUCCGAGGGAUUACACUAGGAGUAGUAUUAUCUAAAGAUGAUGAUUCAAUACACCAACAAUCUUACCGCGAAUACAUUGCCUUUUUUUUCCAGGACACCAGGUUGACAAUCUCCAUCUGAUUUACAGGUCCGUCAAGUUCUCUUCCUUCUGAUUUCUUACACAUAUCUGCAAGCAAAUAUUUCUUCAAAACAUAAGAAUAAUAUCGUAUGUAAACAAAGAAUAAUUCAAAAUGUAAAUUUGUUAGAAGUUAAACAUCCUUUUAGAAAGCAGGUGAUUUAUUCAUUUUAUCAUUAGUUCCAAACCUGAUGUUAAGAUGCAGAAAGCAAAAAGAUAUAUCAUUAUAAGAGCAGACAUCUUGU